rnacentral:rRNA from 1 species
AGAGUGAACGCUGGCGGUAGGCCUAACGCAUGCAAGUCGAACGGCAGCACAGUGGUAGCAAUACCAUGGGUGGCGAGUGGCGGACGGGUGAGGAAUACAUCGGAAUCUACCUUUUCGUGGGGGAUAACGUAGGGAAACUUACGCUAAUACCGCAUACGCCCUUCGGGGGAAAGCCGGGGAUCGCAAGACCUGGCGCGGAUAGAUGAGCCGAUGUCGGAUUAGCUAGUGGUGAGGUAUGGCUCACCAAGGCGACGAUCCGUAGCUGGUCUGAGAGGAUGAUCAGCCACACUGGAACUGAGACACGGUCCAGACUCCUACGGGAGGCAGCAGUGGGAAUAUUGGACAAGUGGGCGCAAGCCUGACUCCAGCCAUACCGCGUGGUGAAGAACGGCCUUCGGGUUAGUAAACGG